GGACUACCAGGGUUUCUAAUCCUGUUUGAUCCCCUUGCUUUCGCGCAUCAGCGUCAGGUAUAAUCUAGAAAAUCGCCUUCGCCACCGGUGUUCUUCCACAUAUCUACGCAUUUCACCGCUACACGUGGAAUUCCAUUUUCUCCGACUACCCUCUAUAGAUCUCCAGUUUCAAAUGCUGUUCCGGGGUUAAGCCCCGGGAUUUCACAUCUGACUUAAAAACCCGCCUACGCGCUCUUUACGCCCAAUAAAUCCGAUUAAUGCUUGCACCCUCUGUAUUACCGCGGCUGCUGGCAC
rnacentral:rRNA from 1 species